rnacentral:rRNA from 1 species
GAACGCUGGCGGCAUGCCUUACACAUGCAAGUCGAACGGCAGCGCGGACUUCGGUCUGGCGGCGAGUGGCGAACGGGUGAGUAGUGUAUCGGAACGUACCAUUCAGUGGGGGAUAACGCAGCGAAAGUUGCGCUAAUACCGCAUAUUCUGUGCGCAGGAAAGCAGGGGAUCGCAAGACCUUGCGCUGAUUGAGCGGCCGAUAUCAGAUUAGCUAGUUGGUGAGGUAAAGGCUCACCAAGGCGACGAUCUGUAGCGGGUCUGAGAGGAUGAUCCGCCACACUGGAACUGAGACACGGUCCAGACUCCUACGGGAGGCAGCAGUGGGGAAUUUUGGACAAUGGGCGCAAGCCUGAUCCAGCCAUGCCGCGUGAGUGAAGAAGGCCUUCGGGUUGUAAAGCUCUUUCGGCCGGGAAGAAAUCGUAUGGGUUAAUACCCUGUGCGGAUGACGGUACCGGCAUAAGAAGCACCGGCUAACUACGUG